rnacentral:rRNA from 1 species
AUUGCACGCUGGCGGCAGGCCUAACACAUGCAAGUCGAACGAGUGGCGGACGGGUGAGUCAGGUCUGGGAAACUGCCCGAUGGAGGGGGAUAACUACUGGAAACGGUAGCUAAUACCGCAUACCAUCGGAUGUGCCAAGAGGGGAUUAGCUAGUAGGUGGGGUAAAGGUGCACCUAGGCGACGAUCCCUAUCUGGUCUGAGAGGAUGACCAGCCACACUGGAACUGAUACACGGUCCAGACUCCUACGGGAGGCAGCAGUGGGGAAUAUUGCACAAUGGGCGCAAGCCUGAUGAAGCCAUGCCGCGGGUAUGAAGAAGGCAUUCGGGUUUUAAAGUACUUUCAGCGAGGAGGCGUUACUCGCAGAAGAAGCACCGGCUAACUCCGUGCCAGCAGCCGCGGUAAUUC